rnacentral:tRNA from 1 species
GGCGCCAUCGUCUAGCCUGGUCAGGACGGGUGAUUCUCAGUCAUCAAACCGGGGUUCGAAUCCCCGUGGCGCUA